rnacentral:rRNA from 1 species
UACGUAGGAGGCGAGCGUUGUCCGGAGUUACUGGGCGUAAAGGGUGCGCAGGCGGCGGUUCGCGUGGAUAGAUGAAAUCUCCUGGCUUACCUGGGAGGAUGGUAUCCAGACGGGAUCGCUUGAGGGUCGGAGAGGGGCGUGGAAUUCCGGGUGGAGCGGUGAAAUGCGUAGAGAUCCGGAGGAACACCGACGGCGUAGGCAGCGCCCUGGACGACACCUGACGCUGAGGCACGAAGGCUGGGGGAGCGAACAGG